UACAGAGGGUGCGAGCGUUAAUCGGAGUUACUGGGCGUAAAGGGCACGUAGGCGGUUAAUUAAGUCAGUUGUGAAAUCCCUGGGCUUAACCUGGGAACUGCAAUUGAGACUGGUCAACUGGAGUCGAAGAGAGGGAAGCGGAAUUUCCGGUGUAGCGGUGAAAUGCGUAGAUAUCGGAAGGAACACCGGUGGCGAAGGCGGCUUCCUGGCUUCAGACUGACGCUGAGGUGCGAAAGCGUGGGUAGCGAACAGG
rnacentral:rRNA from 1 species